rnacentral:rRNA from 1 species
AGUUGAUCCUGGCUUAGGAUGAACGCUAGCGGCAGGCUUAACACAUGCAAGUCGAGGGGCAUCGGGAGUAGCAAUACUUGCCGGCGACCGGCGCAAGGGUGCGUAACGCGUGAGCAACAUGCCCGUAUCAGGGGGAUAAUCCAUGGAAACGUGGUCUAAUACCCCAUAGUAAUUAUGUAAGGCAUCUUAUAUAAUUUAAAGCUUUGGUGGAUACGGAUUGGCUCGCGUGACAUUAGCUGGAUGGUAAGGUAACGGCUUACCAUGGCUACGAUGUCUAGGGGUUCUGAGAGGAAGGUCCCCCACACUGGAACUGAGACACGGUCCAGACUCCUACGGGAGGCAGCAGUGAGGAAUAUUGGACAAUGGAUGGAAAUCUGAUCCAGCCAUGCCGCGUGCAGGAAGACGGCCCUAUGGGUUGUAAACUGCUUUUGUAUGGGAGCAAUAAGGGCUACGUGUAGUCCGAUGAGAGUACCAUACGAAUAAGCACCGGCUAACUCCGUGCCAGCCGCGGC